CAGUAAGAGAAGGAUAAUCAAAGCCAGUUCCCUGGGGCACCAGCUAAUGGUACUAAUUAGCAAACAGACAGGGAUUUGCUGAAAGCAUUACACCCAGGCAUGUGCUAAUUAAUUAGCUGAUUGUAGGGAGGUGAUCCUCCUGCUUUCUCUCUCACCUGCAGGAUUGUGCAAUGGGGAAGGAAGGAGGGUGUUAUGCUUUCUCAUAAAGUAGAUGACAUUGUGGGGUAGCCCAGUAGGGUCCUGUGUAAAGGCUGCUCUGUGGGAAGGAAAGAAAGAGAUCUUUCUAUGCACCAUGUUCUCCGUUAUCUGAAUGACCUCCUGGUCAGGUCUUGAGGAGGAGCUAUUAGGUUGUCACAUUUUCUGUACAGGAUUCAGAAGAAAGAGGGAUGCAAUUUUGUGCUAUCAGUUCCUCAAAAUGGAUGAUUUUCCUGUUUUAUGGGAUAUGAAGCAGCCCUUCCUUUCUUUGCAUAAGCCCAUACAACACGUAGAAGGACUGCUGCGAGCACAUCCAACAUUCUCCCCAGGUGGCCCACCAAGACAAAGCCUAGCAGCCAGAUGCCCAGGGUUUGCACCCCAAAUGGAAGCUGUUCUUCCCCUCACUUUUGCAGGACCUGUUCAGAAGUUGGGAUUGUGCUGA
rnacentral:lncRNA from 1 species